AUACCAAAAAGUAAUUAUCUUAAACCUAAGUAUUUAAAGUUAUGUACUUGAAAUUUGAAGAAUUUGGCGGUGAUUUAGUCUUGUCAGAGGAACCUGUUUUUAAAUCGAUACACCACGAAGAAUCUUACUUAAACUUGUAAAGUAGUAUGUAUACCAUCAUUAUUAGGUAAUUUUUAUAGAAUAAAUUACUGAAAGAUAGUUAUUAAUAGUGUUAAAUAUAUUAGAUCAAGGUGCAGCUAAUGUUUAAGUUAAAAUGGGUUACAAUAAAAAUUUAUUUAAUACGGAAUAUUAAUUUAAAUAGUUAAUUAGAAGGAGGAUUUGAUUGUAAAUUAAAUUUAAUAUGUUUAAUUAGAUAUAAGCUCUAAAUCAUGUACAUAUCGCCCGUCGCUUUCAUUACUAAAAUGAGAU
rnacentral:rRNA from 1 species